rnacentral:piRNA from 1 species
UCAUCAUGCCUAUGUGAAGAAUGCUGGAGU